rnacentral:rRNA from 1 species
GGGAGGCAGCAGGUGGGGAAUCUUAGACAAUGGGCGCAAGCCUGAUCUAGCGAUGCCGCGUGAGUGACGAAGGCCUUAGGGUCGUAAAGCUCUUUCGCCAGGGAUGAUAAUGACAGUACCUGGUAAAGAAACCCCGGCUAACUCCGUGCCAGCAGCCGCGGUAAUACGGAGGGGGUUAGCGUUGUUCGGAAUUACUGGGCGUAAAGCGCACGUAGGCGGACUUUUAAGUUAGAGGUGAAAUCCCAGGGCUCAACCCUGGAACUGCCUUUAAUACUGGAAGUCUUGAGUUCGAGAGAGGUGAGUGGAAUUCCGAGUGUAGAGGUGAAAUUCGUAGAUAUUCGGAGGAACACCAGUGGCGAAGGCGGCUCACUGGCUCGAUACUGACGCUGAGGUGCGAAAGCAUGGGGAGCAAACAGGAUUAGAUACCCUGGUAGUCCAUGCCGUAAACGAUGAAUGCCAGACGUCGGGGGGCUUGCCCUUCGGUGUCACACCUAACGGAUUAAGCAUUCCGCCUGGGGAGUACGGUCGCAAGAUUAAAACUCAAA